CGCGAGGUAGUGUAAUGGCAACAUGUGUGGCUCAUAACCACAAGAAGCAGUAAUACUGUGUUGGAAGUUCGAGUCUUCCCUUCGCAACUA
rnacentral:tRNA from 1 species